rnacentral:piRNA from 1 species
UGGGAACUACAGCAAAUGGGAC